UAGCUCUGUGUAAUCACAUCUAACAGGUUUUCUAGUUUCAUGAAAUUGGACUAUUAUUUUCUCUUGUGGGUUACACCAGAGUUAACCCGACCCCUUUUUAUCUGCAACAUAAUCAAACUCGUUUCAACCUGUCAAUCAUUUUGGAGAUCCUGAAGUCGGAAGAUGAUGUGACUCAAUAUUACAUUGCAUGAAUACAGCAAGAAAGGAUGUUUUGGAGGUUCAAAAAUGCUUAUGAAUGAUUGCAAGGAGACUUUGGAAGAAGAAACAAGAUGAUAAAGUGUUUUGGAGUCCAAUAUCAACGAGACCAUCCUUGGUCUCGUCGAUAUCAUGAAGCAAUCAAGAAUAGAAGAAGAUUGAAAAGGUCUCAUCGAUAUCGUCCUUGAUCCUCGAGUAGCAAUUGGUUUCAUUUUACGUUAUGUUGAUUUCAUUUAACUCUUAUUUUGGGUAAACUACAUAGACAAUCCUGCAAUUAACUUCUUAUUUUUAUUAACAA